UACGAAGGGGGCUAGCGUUGUUCGGAAUUACUGGGCGUAAAGCGCGCGCAGGCGGUCUUCCAAGUCAGUGGUGAAAGCCCGGAGCUCAACUCCGGAACUGCCAUUGAAACUGUAAGACUUGAGGAUGAGAGAGGUGAGUGGAAUUCCCAGUGUAGAGGUGAAAUUCGUAGAUAUUGGGAAGAACACCGGUGGCGAAGGCGGCUCACUGGCUCAUUACUGACGCUCAGGCGCGACAGCGUGGGGAGUCAAACAGG
rnacentral:rRNA from 1 species